rnacentral:rRNA from 1 species
UACGUAGGGGGCUAGCGUUGUCCGGAUUUAUUGGGCGUAAAGAGCGUGUAGGCGGCCAGGUAGGUCUGCUGUGAAAGCUCGAGGCUUAACCUCGAGAUGUCGGCGGAAACCAUCUGGCUAGAGUCCGGAAGAGGAGAGUGGAAUUCCUGGUGUAGCGGUGAAAUGCGCAGAUAUCAGGAAGAACACCCGUGGCGAAGGCGGUUCUCUGGGCAUGUCCUGACGCUGAGGAGCGAAAGUGUGGGGAGCGAACAGG